AACGUAGGUGGCGAGCGUUAUCCGGAUUCAUUGGGCGUAAAGAGCUUGUAGGUGGCGGCGUAAGUUGGACGUGAAAUCGCCCGGCUCAACCGGGCGGGGCCGUUCAAUACUGCGCGGCUGGAGGAGGUCAGAGGGAAGUGGAAUUCCUGGUGUAGCAGUGAAAUGCGUAGAUAUCAGGAGGAACACCCGUGGCGAAGGCGGCUUCCUGGGGCCAUCCUGACACUGAGAAGCGAAAGCUAGGGGAGCGAACGGG
rnacentral:rRNA from 1 species